rnacentral:rRNA from 1 species
GACGAACGCUGGCGGCGUGCCUAAUACAUGCAAGUAGAACGCUGAAGGAGGAGCUUGCUUCUCUGGAUGAGUUGCGAACGGGUGAGUAACGCGUAGGUAACCUGCCUGGUAGCGGGGGAUAACUAUUGGAAACGAUAGCUAAUACCGCAUAAGAGUAGAUGUUGCAUGACAUUUGCUUAAAAGGUGCAAUUGCAUCACUACCAGAUGGACCUGCGUUGUAUUAGCUAGUUGGUGGGGUAACGGCUUACCAAGGCGACGAUACAUAGCCGACCUGAAAGGGUGAUCGAGCACACUGGGACCGGGACCCGGCCCAGGCUCCCUCGGGAGGCCACAGGUGGGGAACUUUGGCAAUGGGGGGAAGGCUGGACCAGGAAAGGCGGGUGGGUGAAGGAAGGUUUCGGGUCGUAAAGGUCUGUUUGACGGGAAGAACGAGGGCGGUGGUGGUACGACCGUACGGUGACGGUACCUGACGAGUAAGCGACGGCUAACUACGUG